rnacentral:lncRNA from 1 species
GAAAAACCAUCUGUGUUGAAUUAAUUUGAACUCUUUUGCUCUUUUGAAGUGAUAUGUAAUAGGUUAUCACCAAAACAAUGUUGGAUGCUACCACUGUCAGUACUUGGAUUUGGAAUAUGAAAAUGCUAUGCAUGUCAAUUUCUGUGAAUUCAUAUCCAUUACCAUUUAUGAAAUCUCAAAUAAUACUGGUCGAUCAUUUACACUACACAAACCUAACAAACAUUUCACCGACACAACAAUUAUCCUAGCAAUUCUAUCAACAUGUCAAUCUUGCUUGGUGCUUCCUGUUCCCUCUUUGUUCCCUCUUUGUUCUUGUCUGCUUCCUAUUUCCUCCCCGCAUGAACAUGUCAAUCUUGCUUGGUGCUUUCUAUCAACAUCUCUUGCUUUGUG